AACGCGAAGAACCUUACCAAGGCUUGACAUACACCGGAAACGGCCAGAGAUGGUCGCCCCCUUGUGGUCGGUGUACAGGUGGUGCAUGGCUGUCGUCAGCUCGUGUCGUGAGAUGUUGGGUUAAGUCCCGCAACGAGCGCAACCCUUGUUCUGUGUUGCCAGCAUGCCCUUCGGGGUGAUGGGGACUCACAGGAGACUGCCGGGGUCAGCUCGGAGGAAGGUGGGGACGACGUCAAAUCAUCAUGCCCCUUAUGUCUUGGGCUUCACGCAUGCUACAAUGGCCGGUACAAAGGGUUGCGAUACUGUGAGGUGGAGCUAAUCCCAAAAAGCCGGUCUCAGUUCGGAUUGGGGUCUGCAACUCGACCCCAUGAAGUCGGAGUCGCUAGUAAUCGCAGAUCAGCAACGCUGCGGUGAAUACGUUCCCGGGCCUUGUACACACCG
rnacentral:rRNA from 1 species